rnacentral:lncRNA from 1 species
CCUGGCCUUCUCCAUGCUCGGAAUAACUUCCUGCAGCGACCAACAGGCUAAAGAGGGGGAAGGUCUGGAGGUUGGAAAGAGGACUGGAAUCUGAUUGGGGUUCCAACAAAUCUGUAACACCGCUGGGAACGACUGGGUCCCCUUUAGGUCCUUUAGGACAGCGUUUGAAAUCUUGCUUUCCCCUGCAGGGAUCCAGCACCGGCUCCUCCUCCGGCAACCACGGUGGGAGCGGCGGAGGAAAUGGACAUAAACCCGGGAAUUUUAAAUCCAAGCUGGGUUUCAUCAACUGGGAUGCCAUAAACAAGGACCAGAGAAGCUCUCGCAUCCCGUGACCUCCAGACAAGGAGCCACCAGAUUGGAUGGGAGCCCCCACACUCCCUCCUUAAAACACCACCCUCUCAUCACUAAUCUCAGCCCUUGCCCUUGAAAUAAACCUUAGCUGCCCCACA